AAUUGCAUGCUAUUCUACAAAGAUAACAAGGACAAAGAUAAAUGUGAUUUUUGUGGUGCUAAUCGGUAUGUGGAAGGGCGAACAAAGGUUGCACGCAAUGUUUUGCGCUAUCUUCCAAUCAUAGAUAGGCUGCAAAGGCUUUAUCUACAUGGGGAGACAGCCAAGUUAAUGAGAUCAUAUAGUCCCACAACAUGUGGUAAGAUGGUGCACCCUUGUGACGGAGAGGCUUGGCAACAAUUUAAUGUGGACUUUACAGAAUUUGCAAGCGAAAAAAUAAAUGUUCGCCUUGCAGUAGCAACAGAUGGUUUCCAACCAUUUGAUGUGAGUGCUGUGCCUUACUCAUGUUGUGGCCAAUCUUUGUGACCCCACUGAACCUACCUCCUGGCACACUCUUAAGGUCUGAGUAUAUUUUUCUUGCACUUGUUGUUCCUGGGCCGGAGCAUCCUGGUAGAAAAUUGAAUGUUUUAAUGCAACCCUUAGUUGAUGAAUUUCAAGAACUGUGGAAAGGGGUCACAACAUGGGAUUCUUCGUUGAAGGAGGAGUUUACAAUGAGAGGAAUCUACCUUUGGUCAGUACAUGACUUUAUGGCAUAUGGGGACUUUUCUGGCUGGAACACCCAUGGUAGGUUGUCAUGCCCAUAUGGGUGUGGCUGUCGAGGAUUUCUACUCCAUAAUGGUCAUAAGGCUUGCUGGUUUGAUACCCAUAGGCGUUUCUUGCCUAAAGAUCAUCCAUUUAGAAAUGAAGCUAAUGCUUUUCGCAAGAACACCAAGGUGUUUGAUGAGGCACCUAGGUACUUAACAGGGGAGGAAUUGCAAGCCCAUGUGAACCAGUUUGUUGGUGAUACACAAAGCUACGGUAGAUUGCACAAUUGGACACAUGUACUAUGUUUUAGGUAGCUUCCAUAUUUCCAUAAGUUGCUACUUCCACAUAAUAUUGAUGUGAUGCAUAAUGAAAAGAAUAUGGGUGAAGCCAUAUGGAACACAUGUUUUGAUAUAGCUGAAAAGACCAAAGAUAAUGUGAAAGCUAUGCUAGAUUUGGCUAUUAUAUGUAAUCGUCCUUCCAUGCAUUUGGUGCAAAAGAGCAAUGGGCAGUGGGAUAGGCCUAGAGGUCCAUUCUGUGUUCACAAAGAUGUUAAGCCAACCAUCCUGCAAUGGUUCAAAGAAAUGCAGUUCCCUGACUCAUAUGCAUCCAAUCUGAAGCGUGGUGUGAAUCUGCUGCAAAAGAAAAUUUUUGGACUAAAAAGUCAUGAUUAUCACAUCUUUAUGGAAAGGUUGCUCCCUGUAGUGUUUCGUGGGUUUUGGCCAGAUAAUGUGUGGCGUUGUUUGGCUGAGCUUAGUUUUUUCUAUCGGCAAUUGUGUGCCAAAGAGCUUAGAAAAGAUGUUGUCCGCUCUCUAGAAGAAAUCUGGCAUGAAAAGUUUGGAUAGCAAUGGUAGAUGUGGUCCAAUCAUUAGCCGCAAAGCCCAACAACGCAUGGACGACUAUCUUGUUGCUGUUAAGAGGACAUAAUGUGCAAACGAAGAGGAUAGAGAUGGUGUAGACAUGGAAGUGGAUGGGCAUGUGAGGUCGAGCAAGAGCAAUAUUUGAAUGGGAAGGCACUAUAUGAUGUGUCUAGUGGUGGCCCGAGAAAGCAUGGGCGUCUUGCCAUAGCCAAUGGUGCUGUUAAGUCUUCAGAUGUUAGGGCAGCCAGAAGGGAAAGAAGUGUGUUCCCAUCAAAUUCAAUGACUAUGGAAAACAUGUCUCGCGAAAUGGAACAGCUACGUCGUGCAAAUGGAAGGCUAGAACAAGAGAAUCGUGAAAAAGACAAUGCACUACAGCAAAACAAAGUUCUUGUAGACUUGGUAUUGAAACUUUGUGAGGACACAGGAAGGGUAGUACCAGAAGAAGCGUUACGACGCUUGUCCGCUACACAAGCAAUUGUGAGUAUAUCUUCAUUCCACUACCAACAUGUUUUGUAGCUAUCAGAUCCAUCACUUAGAGAUCUUAAGAUGGAAUGGAAGCACAAACUAAUUAGUAUUUUGUGGGGUACUAUUCGGAAUGGCAACAAACAGUGCAGCAGUGAGGAAGUGGCCUCAUGUUGAUUGUUGUAUAGCUACUGCAGUGAAUUUGCAUAGCUAUUGCAGUGAGGAAAUGGCCUUAUGUAGGUUUGCAGUGUUUCAACCUUGAAAACUAGCAGU